rnacentral:rRNA from 1 species
UACGUAGGGUGCGAGCGUUGUCCGGAAUUAUUGGGCGUAAAGGGCUCGUAGGCGGUUUGUCGCGUCGGGAGUGAAAACCCAGGGCUUAACCCUGGGCUGGCUUUCGAUACGGGCAGACUAGAGGUAUGCAGGGGAGAACGGAAUUCCUGGUGUAGCGGUGAAAUGCGCAGAUAUCGUAAGGAAGACCAGUGGCGAAGGCGAGUCUCUGGACAGCAACUGACGCUGAGGCACGAAGGCCAGGGGAGCAAACGGG